AGAGUUAAACAGUACGUGAAAUUGUUGAAAGGGAAACGAUUAAAGUCAGUCGUACUAACGGGGAAUCAACCUUUUGAGAGUGGAUUUGUGGGAUUCAAAGUGCCUUUAUUUCUACAAUCUGCUUUUUGGGGUGCAUUUUCUCGUAAUGUAGGUCUGUAUCGGUUUUGAUCGUUAUAAAAUGACUGGAGGAAUGUAGCUUCGAUCUCGUAUUGAAGUGUUAUAGCCUUUGGUAAAUGUAACGGAUGGGAUCGAGGAUUGCAAUGAAUACCCUCAUGGGCUAUCCGCCUGGCCUCUGAUUUGUCACUCUGGUGCUGAAAGCUUGCUUAUGGUAUUAUAGUGUACGGUCAAAAGGUUAGAACGGAUUAAAUUCGUUAAGGAUGUUGACGUAAUGGCUUUAAACGACC
rnacentral:sRNA from 1 species